rnacentral:lncRNA from 1 species
UUUUGUUCUUUUUUAACAGUCUUAAUAAAAAGAGCACUUCUUGAUAACCUAUUUUUCUUCACCCAUGUAUCAAGAUCCACGGACAAUGUGGGAAAGAAAGAAGGUAAAGUUGAAUUGUGUUUUUAUGUAGAGGCUAUGUUUGGUGAGAGCCUCACCCAGUGAGGAUAAAACUUAUAUUUAAUAUAUUUAUAGUCUAUUUAUGAGAACCCCUAUUAGAAAAUAUAUCACCCACAAAUUAUUGAAAUAAAAUAGGGAAGAAAGCAGGAGAGAAAAAUCCAACACUGCUACAAAUGUUUGAUGAGUCUUCCUAGUCUUGACCACACUUCAGUGACCUCUCUAGUACACAAUGGUCCUUUAUAUCUGCCCUUUGAGUGACACCAUCUCAUUCACUUAUCUUACAUGAUCUUCCUGAACUCAUUUUACUGCAUGGCUUGGGUAGACCUUCUUGGUAGUCUCUGAGUAAGAUUAUAUGUGAUUCAUCCUUGUGUACUUAAGGUAGUGGAUAUGUGAUGAUUAUCAUAUAUAGGACUUUUAAGUAAAUUCAUAAUGCAAAAUCUUUAUUGACAGUAUUUUCAAAGUGUGGGAAGGUAAAUGUUCACAUAUAUGCACAUAAUACCUGGGUUUGAAGAGACACCAUAAAGACCUUAAUAUAAGUGAAAAAGUAUUUAGUGAGAAUUCCUAAGAACCCAGAGUUGAAUUACAAAUUGACAUCACCUCAUGAAUUGGAUUUCUUCUUGUAAAAUCACAGUAUGAUAUGAAAGUAUAAAAUUCAAACUAUAUUUUCUUAUUUGUUUUUUUCCUUAUGAUUCUAACUAUAUGUGGCACAUACAUUAUUCUGACCCUAAGGAAAUAUAAAACAUAUUUUUAAAACUCAGAAGUCAUUGAAGUGAGGAUUCUGUUUUUAUUAAAAUACAUUAUAUGAGUAUCUGAUUCUUACAUAAAAUCAUAGUUAGAAAUAUAAUAUAGUGGUUUAAAAUCUUUAGCUUCAGAGACUGACCAUUUGCACUCACAUUCCAGUUUUCCAGUAUUUAUUAGCUAUAUAACAUUAGCAAAGUAAUUUAUUUUCUUUCUUGGUGUAUGCAUUUGUACAAUGGGAAUAGUAGCAGAAUCUGUCUCAUAUGGUUGUUGAGAGAAUUAAAUGAGAUCAUUCAUGUAAGGUGCUUAGCACACAGUAAAUGCUUAAUAUAUGUCAUCUAUUUUACUAACUUUAUGGUAAUAGCUAAUUAACUUGAUUUUGAUUGAGGCACUUUAUUGCCCUCAUUAAAAUAUACAUUAAUCUAUCAUCUAAUAUUUAUUGGCAAGGCACUCUGGUAAGUAUUACAGUCUUAAAAAGUAUUUGCCAUAAAUAAUUACCAAAUCAUUGGAAAUUCUGACUUCUUGAGGCUUGAAUAGUUAAGCAGUUAUCCUAAUUAGGCAAGGCUCUAGGUGUACAAGUGAACUCAUGACCUGGAGAAUGGACAUGCUUAGGAGUUCAAUCAACAAAAUGGUGUGAAAGAUACUAAGCUUAAAGAUGUUUUUAAAUAUUGCACACCAGUAAAGAAUCUUAUGACUUUUAACAGUGAAAUCUGUUGCCUUCAUGUCCUACUAAAAUUCAAAAUGAUAUUAUUGGGUGUUUACUUUGGACCAGGGAUCAUGUUAGUGCUUUAUGAACAUGGCUGCAUUUAAUUCACAAUCUUCCUAUCAGAAGAGUAUAACUAUUAUCAUACAAAUGAGAAAGCUAAAGUCCAGAGAAUCUAAAUAUGUUUCCAAGUUACAGAGCUUGAGCAAAAACUGGAAUUUGAUCAUAGUUUACAUCUUCAAGACAGGUCACUGUUAUCAUGCCACCUCUCAAAUAUCUAUUCCAUAUUUAAAAACCAUUUUGGUGUCAUACAACUGGCAUCUGUACAUAACAGUAAAGUUUUUUGGAGUAACACACAUGCAGAGCAGGACCUCAGCCAUAUCAUUUGGAUCACUGUUCUCUUAUUAAAUGAGUAAUUCAGUGCAAUGCUAAAUAAAUGCAGUUUGUCCUUGGUUUGAAAGAAUUUAGCAUUUAUAGUUGCAACUAUUUUGUAGAGAUUUCAAGGUCUAUGGACAUUAAUAAUUUGUAAUUUUGUUGAGGUGAAAAUUAAAAUAUGUACCACCAUACUGGUAUGUAAGAGUCUCAUAGAAAGUGAGGACACCUAACUAAAAUAGCAUCUGCAUUUUGAUAUAUUAUUCUAUGGUGUUUCUGUUCACAGAUACUUGCAUCAAGUGAUUUCUAACAAUUUCUAUUGUUUUAAAAAAUUUUUACUUAUUUAUUAUUUUUUUAAGAUUUUAUUUAUUUAUUCAUGAGAGAUACAGAGAAAGAGGCAGUGACAUAGGCAGAGUGAGAAACAGGCUCCCUGAUGUGGAAAUCAAUCCCAGAACUGUGGGAUCAUGACCUGAGCCAAAGGCAGACACUCAACCACUGAGCCACCCAGGUGCCCCAGUUUUCUUUUUUUUCCCUUCAGAUUUUAUUUAUUUAUUUGUUUGUUUGUUUGUUUUGUUUGUUUAAAAGAGCAUGAGCAGGGGAAGGGCAAAGGGAAUGGACAGAGGUGGAAAAUCUCAAGCUGACUCUGUGCUGAGCUUAAAGCCCAAUACAGGGCUCACUCUCAUGACCCUGAAAUCAUAAAUUACUAAAGUUAGUCUGAAAGUUAUUCUUUACUGUAUUUUUUUGAACAUUAAAUUGAAAUAUUUUGAUAUAACGGAAGGCUCAUGCUUGUGAAACUGUUAUGGUAAUGUUGAUUUAGAGUUGAGGGAGGGUAUCCCUGGGUGGCUUAGUGGUUUAGUGCCUGCCUUCGGCCCAGGGUGUGAUCCUGGAGUCCCAGGAUCGAGUCCCACAUCGGGAUCCCCGCAUGGAGCCUGCUUCUCCCUCUGCCUGUAUCUCUACCUCUCUCUCUCUAUGUCUAUCAUAAAUAAAUGAAUAAAUCUUAAAAAAAAAAAGAGUUGAGGGAGAUUUUCCUAAUUAUACCAUUCAAAUAGUUACUCUGUGCAUUAAGUGAGAAAAGCCAAUAUGCCUUAUUAAAAAAAGAAACAGAAAACUUUAUAUAUUUAUUCAGAUUAAUAAUAAUAAUGCUUACAAACUACACUGAGAUUUCCUGUUUACCCAAAUGUCAUUCAUCAUUUAAUUUCAUUUUAAAAAAUUUCACUCUUGAAACAACCC